rnacentral:rRNA from 1 species
CAGCUCCUACGGGGGGCAGCAGUGGGGAAUUUUGGACAAUGGGCGCAAGCCUGAUCCAGCUAUUCCGCGUGUGGGAUGAAGGCCCUCGGGUUGUAAACCACUUUUGUAGAGAACGAAAAGACACCUUCGAAUAAAGGGUGUUGCUGACGGUACUCUAAGAAUAAGCACCGGCUAACUACGUGCCAGCAGCCGCGGUAAUACGUAGGGUGCGAGCGUUAAUCGGAAUUACUGGGUGUAAAGGGUGCGCAGGCGGUUGAGGAAGACAGAUGUGAAAUCCCCGAGCUUAACUCGGGAAGUG